CCCUGGUUAGCUCAGUUGGUAGAGCGCUCCACCUGUAAUGGAGAGGUCCCGGCUUCAAUACCCGCACCAGGCG
rnacentral:tRNA from 1 species